rnacentral:lncRNA from 1 species
CUUACAGAUUCUGUUUCUUCACAACAACGAGUUAAAAAAACUUGGCAAAACAGUGAAGGAAUUGAAAGGAAUGAUAAGCUUGCAGACUCUAAGUAAUACCUUAUUUUUAUUUUGCAGAACAGCAAGUAGUAGCUUUUUAGUUUCUUAUCAGGAUGUUUCUUGUCUAUUUCUGCAUCAUUUGCCAAUAGCUUUUGAAGCUAAUUAGCAAUUUCAGCCAAAUUUGACAGAAGAAAGAGAUCUCUAAGACAUGAAAAUUCCACAAAGAGUACCUCAACUGAGGAAAAACUGCUAAACCUAUUCCAUAACCCUCUGGAAUAUGAUCCAGACUACCGGCUUUAUGUGAUAUACUUCCUUCCUUCAGUUCAGCUCCUUGACAGGAAGGUAGUUACACAAAAAGAAAGGGAGUCAGCACUUAAUCUCUAUAACCCCAAAAGGGCUUGGGUGAUGCAGUCAGUAGCUUUUGGGAAGAGAGCAGACACAUCCCUCAGGACUACGGUGGGAUCUGGCAGAUGCACUCAACCAGCCAGAAGACCGAUAAUGCCCUCAGGUAUUUAUAACACUCGAAGGAAGGCACACAUUUUUAGGUCAUUUGAAUUAGAAAUGUUUUUUUCAUUCAAACAUUAU